GAUGAACGCUAGCUACAGGCUUAACACAUGCAAGUCGAGGGGUAACAAGAGAAAAGCUUGCUUUUCUUGUUGACGACCGGCGCACGGGUGAGUAACGCGUAUCCAACCUGCCUAUAACUAGGGAAUAACCUUGCGAAAGUAAGACUAAUGCCCUAUGACUUCCUUUGAUGACAUCAGAUUAGGAAUAAAGAUUUAUCGGUUAUAGAUGGGGAUGCGUCUGAUUAGCUUGUUGGCGGGGUAACGGCCCACCAGGGCAACGAUCAGUAGGGGUUCUGAGAGGAAGGUCCCCCACAUUGGAACUGAGACACGGUCCAAACUCCUACGGGAGGCAGCAGUGAGGAAUAUUGGUCAAUGGGCGGAAGCCUGAACCAGCCAAGUAGCGUGCAGGAUGACGGCCCUAUGGGUUGUAAACUGCUUUUAUACAGGGAUAAAGUUAGCCACGUGUGGUUAUUUGCAGGUACUGUAUGAAUAAGGACCGGCUAAUUCCGUGCCAGCCGCCGCUGUAA
rnacentral:rRNA from 1 species